AACGAACGCUGGCGGCGCGUCUUAAACAUGCAAGUCGAACGAUCUGUAGCAAUACAGGGAGUGGCGGACGGGUGAGGAACACGUAGGAAUCUACCUUGAAGAGCGGAACAACUUUGGGAAACCGGGGCUAAUACCGCAUAGUACAGAGAUGUUAAAGGGCUAGCAAUAGUCGCUUCGAGAUGAGCCUGCGGUCUAUCAGCUUGUUGGUGAGGUAAUGGCUCACCAAGGCUACGACGGAUAGCCGGUCUGAGAGGAUGAUCGGCCACACUGGCACUGAGACACGGGCCAGACUCCUACGGGAGGCAGCAGUUAAGAAUCUUGCGCAAUGGGGGAAACCCUGACGCAGCGACGCCGCGUGAAGGAUGAAGGCUUUCGGGUUGUAAACUUCGGUAGACUGGGAAGAAGAAAUACGUUCGUUGAGGGCGUAUAGUGACGGUACCAGUCUGAAGCCCCGGCUAAUUACGUGCCAGCAGCCGCGGUAAU
rnacentral:rRNA from 1 species